rnacentral:rRNA from 1 species
AGUGAACGCUGGCGGUAGGCCUAACACAUGCAAGUCUAACGGCAGCACAGUAAGAGCUUGCUCUUACGGGUGGCGAGUGGCGGACGGGUGAGGAAUACAUCGGAAUCUACUUUUUCGUGGGGGAUAACGUAGGGAAACUUACGCUAAUACCGCAUACGACCUACGGGUGAAAGCAGGGGAUCUUCGGACCUUGCGCGAUUGAAUGAGCCGAUGUCGGAUUAGCUAGUUGGCGGGGUAAAGGCCCACCAAGGCGACGAUCCGUAGCUGGUCUGAGAGGAUGAUCAGCCACACUGGAACUGAGACACGGUCCAGACUCCUACGGGGGGCAGCAGUGGGGAAUAUUGGACAAUGGGCGCAAGCCUGAUCCAGCCAUACCGCGUGGGUGAAGAAGGCCUUCGGGUUGUAAAGCCCUUUUGUUGGGAAAGAAAAGCAGCAGGUUAAUACCCCGCUGUUCUGACGGUACCCAAAGAAUAAGCACCGGCUAACUUCGUG